UUUUAUGGAGAGUUUGAUCCUGGCUCAGGAUGAACGCUGGCGGCGUGCCUAAUACAUGCAAGUCGAGCGAACGGACGAGAAGCUUGCUUCUCUGAUGUUAGCGGCGGACGGGUGAGUAACACGUGGAUAACCUACCUAUAAGACUGGGAUAACUUCGGGAAACCGGAGCUAAUACCGGAUAAUAUUUUGAACCGCAUGGUUCAAAAGUGAAAGACGGUCUUGCUGUCACUUAUAGAUGGAUCCGCGCUGCAUUAGCUAGUUGGUAAGGUAACGGCUUACCAAGGCAACGAUGCAUAGCCGACCUGAGAGGGUGAUCGGCCACACUGGAACUGAGACACGGUCCAGACUCCUACGGGAGGCAGCAGUAGGGAAUCUUCCGCAAUGGGCGAAAGCCUGACGGAGCAACGCCGCGUGAGUGAUGAAGGUCUUCGGAUCGUAAAACUCUGUUAUUAGGGAAGAACAUAUGUGUAAGUAACUGUGCACAUCUUGACGGUACCUAAUCAGAAAGCCACGGCUAACUACGUGCCAGCAGCCGCGGUAAUACGUAGGUGGCAAGCGUUAUCCGGAAUUAUUGGGCGUAAAGCGCGCGUAGGCGGUUUUUUAAGUCUGAUGUGAAAGCCCACGGCUCAACCGUGGAGGGUCAUUGGAAACUGGAAAACUUGAGUGCAGAAGAGGAAAGUGGAAUUCCAUGUGUAGCGGUGAAAUGCGCAGAGAUAUGGAGGAACACCAGUGGCGAAGGCGACUUUCUGGUCUGUAACUGACGCUGAUGUGCGAAAGCGUGGGGAUCAAACAGGAUUAGAUACCCUGGUAGUCCACGCCGUAAACGAUGAGUGCUAAGUGUUAGGGGGUUUCCGCCCCUUAGUGCUGCAGCUAACGCAUUAAGCACUCCGCCUGGGGAGUACGACCGCAAGGUUGAAACUCAAAGGAAUUGACGGGGACCCGCACAAGCGGUGGAGCAUGUGGUUUAAUUCGAAGCAACGCGAAGAACCUUACCAAAUCUUGACAUCCUUUGACAACUCUAGAGAUAGAGCCUUCCCCUUCGGGGGGCAAAGUGACAGGUGGUGCAUGGUUGUCGUCAGCUCGUGUCGUGAGAUGUUGGGUUAAGUCCCGCAACGAGCGCAACCCUUAAGCUUAGUUGCCAUCAUUAAGUUGGGCACUCUAAGUUGACUGCCGGUGACAAACCGGAGGAAGGUGGGGAUGACGUCAAAUCAUCAUGCCCCUUAUGAUUUGGGCUACACACGUGCUACAAUGGACAAUACAAAGGGCAGCGAAACCGCGAGGUCAAGCAAAUCCCAUAAAGUUGUUCUCAGUUCGGAUUGUAGUCUGCAACUCGACUACAUGAAGCUGGAAUCGCUAGUAAUCGUAGAUCAGCAUGCUACGGUGAAUACGUUCCCGGGUCUUGUACACACCGCCCGUCACACCACGAGAGUUUGUAACACCCGAAGCCGGUGGAGUAACCUUUUAGGAGCUAGCCGUCGAAGGUGGGACAAAUGAUUGGGGUGAAGUCGUAACAAGGUAGCCGUAUCGGAAGGUGCGGCUGGAUCACCUCCUUUCU
rnacentral:rRNA from 1 species